rnacentral:rRNA from 1 species
GACGAACCGUGCGAACGUUAUUCGGAAUCACUGGGCUUAAAGCGCGUGUAGGCGGGCCGGCACGUCGGACGUUGAAAUCCCCCGGCUCAACCGGGGAAGGGCGCCGAUACGACCGGCCUGGAGGAACGUAGGGGGAGCUGGAACUUCCGGUGGAGCGGUGAAAUGCGUUGAGAUCGGAAGGAACGCCCGUGGCGAAAGCGAGCUCCUGGACGUUUUCUGACGCUGAGACGCGAAAGCCAGGGAGAGCGA